rnacentral:rRNA from 1 species
GACGAACGCUGGCGGCGUGCUUAACACAUGCAAGUCGAGCGAGAAACCUUCGGGUUUCUAGCGGCGGACGGGUGAGUAACACGUGGGUAACCUGCCCCAAAGAGGGGGAUAGCCUUCCGAAAGGAAGAUUAGUACCGCAUAAUAUUACAGUUUCGCAUGAAGCAGUAAUUAAAGGAGUAAUCCGCUUUGAGAUGGACCCGCGGCGCAUUAGCUAGUUGGAGAGGUAACGGCUCACCAAGGCAACGAUGCGUAGCCGACCUGAGAGGGUGAUCGGCCACAUUGGAACUGAGACACGGUCCAGACUCCUACGGGAGGCAGCAGUGGGGAAUAUUGCACAAUGGGCGGAAGCCUGAUGCAGCAACGCCGCGUGAGUGAUGAAGGUCUUCGGAUUGUAAAGCUCUGUCUUUUGGGACGAUAAUGACGGUACCAAAGGAGGAAGCCACGGCUAACUACGUGCCAGCAGCCGCCGUAA